rnacentral:piRNA from 1 species
UAUUGAACUGAUCUGAAAGGCUGGGCCCUGU